GGAAACGCGGCUGCACCAUGGCUGGGAGUCGAGCCCCUUUGACGUGAAGGCAGCGAGGAACCCGGCACGGCAGGGACUCCAGUCGCCAGGAGUGCCCUGCAUUGGGAUGCUGGGCGCGCCAAUUCUAUGAAUUAUGGCAUUGCACGUGGGAGGACAUUUGGAGUGCGCGGAAAAGGACCCACGGCCUGUACGAGCAGGACAACACUGAAAGUCUGCACAGCUAUGAGAGGAAACUGGAGACGCCGGAGGAAAGCCACGCACAACAGGAGAAGAAGACAACCUCCACUUAGAAAGGCACCCGGUUUGGGAAUGUAACCCGGGUGUUGCUUGCUAUGAGGAAUGAGUGUCACCACGACGCAACCCUGGAGAAGGAAAAAAAAGACGCUGGUGAUGGAGGUGAACACCCGAAGGAGCUAGGAGAAGAGGAAGACAAAAAUCUACCCGGACAUCAAACACUGGACGGAAUGGAAGACGUCUCAGCUGAGAGACGGAGCGACGGACAGAGCAGAGGAGAGGCGCUGCAAAAAAGGCCGGCCGCAAGGAUGAAUAAACAUUCAGUUUCAUUUAUUUCAGUUUCAUUAAUUUGGUAUAGCCCUGUGAGCCAUUCGGCUCUUGCAUCGAGUGCAACCGCAACAAACCAAAAAC